rnacentral:rRNA from 1 species
GACGAACGCUGGCGGCGUGCUUAACACAUGCAAGUCGAACGGUAAGGCCCUUCGGGGUACACGAGUGGCGAACGGGUGAGUAGCACGUGGGUGAUCUGCCCUGCGCUUCGGGAUAAGCCUGGGAAACUGGGUCUAAUACCGGAUAGGACCCUGGGAUGCAUGUCCUGGGGUGGAAAGCUUUUGCGGUGUGGGAUGGGCCCGCGGCCUAUCAGCUUGUUGGUGGGGUGAUGGCCUACCAAGGCGACGACGGGUAGCCGGCCUGAGAGGGUGACCGGCCACACUGGGACUGAGAUACGGCCCAGACUCCUACGGGAGGCAGCAGUGGGGAAUAUUGCUCAAUGGGCGCAAGCCUGAUGCAGCGACGCCGCGUGAGGGAUGACGGCCUUCGGGUUGUAAACCUCUUUCAGCACCGACGAAGCGCAAGUGACGGUAGGUGCAGAAGAAGGACCGGCCAACUACGUGCCAGCCGCCGCCGUAA